AUUGAACGCUGGCGGUAUGCUUAACACAUGCAAGUCGAACGGUAGCAGGCCUUCGGGCGCUGACGAGUGGCGGACGGGUGAGUAACGCGUAGGAAUCUGCCUCAUAGUGGGGGACAACGUGGGGAAACUCACGCUAAUACCGCAUACGCCUACGGGGAAAGCGGGGGAUCUUCGGACCUCGCGCUAUGAGAUGAGCCUGCGUUAGAUUAGCUAGUUGGUAGGGUAAAGGCCUACCAAGGCGACGAUCUAUAGCUGGUCUGAGAGGACGAUCAGCCACACUGGGACUGAGACACGGCCCAGACUCCUACGGGAGGCAGCAGUGGGGAAUAUUGGACAAUGGGCGCAAGCCUGAUCCAGCAAUACGCGUGUGUGAAGAAGCCUUAGGGUGUAAAGCACUUUCAAUUGGGAGGGAAAACCUAGUCGGUCAAUACCCGGCAGCUUGACAUUACCUUUAGAAGAAGCACCGGCUAAACUCCGUGCCAGCAG
rnacentral:rRNA from 1 species